rnacentral:rRNA from 1 species
GACGAACCGUGCGAAUGUUGUUCGGAAUCACUGGGCUUAAAGGGAGCGUAGGCGGGCUAUCAAGUCUGGGGUGAAAUGCCGCGGCUCAACCGUGGAACUGCCUUAGAUACUGACGGCCUCGAGGGAGAUAGGGGCAUGCGGAACUGUAGGUGGAGCGGUGAAAUGCGUUGAUAUCUACAGGAACUCCGGUGGCGAAAGCGGCGUGCUGGAUCUCUUCUGACGCUGAGGUACGAAAGCUAGGGGAGCGAACGGG